rnacentral:misc_RNA from 1 species
UUUCCGUAGGUGAACCUGCGGAAGGAUCAUUACCGAAUUAUCAAACGGGUUGUUGCUGGUCUUCAAACGGGGACAUGUGCACGCUCUGCUUACACAUCCACUCACACCUGUGCACCCUCCGUAGUUCUAUGGUCUGGGGGACCCUGUCUUCCUGGCGUGGUUCUACGUCUUUACACACACUCUGUAAUAAAGUCUUAUGGAAUGUAUGCCGCGUCUAACGCAAUACAAUACAACUUUCAGCAACGGAUCUCUUGGCUCUC